UAGGGAAUCUUCCGCAAUGGGCGAAAGCCUGACGGAGCAACGCCGCGUGAGUGAUGAAGGUCUUCGGAUCGUAAAACUCUGUUAUUAGGGAAGAACAAAUGUGUAAGUAACUAUGCACGUCUUGACGGUACCUAAUCAGAAAGCCACGGCUAACUACGUGCCAGCAGCCGCGGUAAUACGUAGGUGGCAAGCGUUAUCCGGAAUUAUUGGGCGUAAAGCGCGCGUAGGCGGUUUUUUAAGUCUGAUGUGAAAGCCCACGGCUCAACCGUGGAGGGUCAUUUGAAGCUGGAAAACUUGAGUGCAGAAGAGGAAAGUGGAAUUCCGUGUGUAGCGGUGAAAUGCGCAGAGAUAUGGAGGAACACCAGUGGCGAAGGCGACUUUCUGGUCUGUAACUGACGCAGAUGUGCGAAAGCGUGGGGAUCAAACAGG
rnacentral:rRNA from 1 species